rnacentral:misc_RNA from 1 species
GUGUCUGCCGGUAGAUCCCCCGUCUUUGUGCGGCCGACUACCGGCGCCGUGUCCCGUCGGUUCUGUGGCUUAUGUUACUGUUGCCUUUCAAGCGCUUGUGUGUUGGUACCCGAACUCCGGGUAGUGGUGCUUUGUAUUCGGUUGCCUCGCGGUGGCCGCCUUCGGGUGUGCUGCUGCGGCCAAAUGGCGCUAGCGGCGUUUCCUCGUUGUGCCGGCAUGUUUACUCUGCCGUGCAAUCAAGGCAACCUCGCUCCCGCUGUUGGUCUCGGAUGUUGCCUACGUUAAAGUCUCUUGGCCCAUUUAAGUUGCCUUGACCCGACCCUAAGAAGCUCUCCGAAAAAUUGAGAACAACCGGAACAGGUGUUGCCUCUACCUCUCCACAGUUAGUGGUAGGAUUACGCAACAUUCUGCGCCGAUCCUCAAACUAGUAGGAACGAGCUUGGCCCGCUCAAAUGCGACAACCGGCCCGGCCGUUGGCUCUGCCUUGACACGCAAGUGGAUGGGUGGACAACUUCCGACGC